AUGCGUACCUACCUACACCGUCGCCAGCCAGCAAGAGAGAGGAGAGAGAGGGAGGAGCGGGGCCGGCGCCGGCGCCGGCUAAGGAUGGGUCUAUCAGGCGCCGUGGAGUGGUGGGACGAGUGGCAGCUGCGCAUUUUGGUGCUGGGCAGCCUCUUCGUCCAGUACAUGCUCUUCUUCUCCUCCAUGAUGCGCAGGUGUGCUCUUCCAUCCUGGCUCAGGCUCUUCAUCUGGCUCGCAUAUCUGGGCGGAGAUGCGCUGGCGAUCUACGCCCUCGCCACCCUCUUCAACCGCCACAAGCAGCAGCAGGAGCGGCUCGCCGCCGGCCUGGAAGUGCUGUGGGCGCCUGUCCUCCUCAUCCACCUCGGCGGGCAGCAUAUGAUGACUGCCUACAGCAUCGAAGACAACGAGCUGUGGAUGCGGAACACCGUCACCGCGGUGUCCCAAGUCGUGGUCGCCCUCUACGUCUUCUGCAAGUCCUGGUCCGGCUCCGGCUCCGGCUCUGGCGGGGAGAAAAGGCUACUGCAAGCCGCGAUCUUGUUGUUCGUCGUUGGGAUCUUCAGAUCCAUCCAGAAGCCAUUGGCUCUGAGGAACGCCAGUAUCAGUAACAUGGUCGACGCUUUCUCCAGGUCCACGAGAAAGGACCAAAGAAUCACAUUCUGCUGGAAAAUGUUAUGCGGUUGCACAUGGGAUUGGUAUUUUGGUACAAACAAAACUAGAGAAGAAGCCGAAGAGAAGGACAUCCCGCUUGAAGAAUUUGUGCAAGAAGCAAUCAAGAAUUUACCAGAAUUGGCCAGUGAUCAAAAGCAAGCAGAAAUCCUCGACAAAUCAUCAUUGAACGUAAAUUUCUACAGGUCACUAGUAGACAUAUCUCCCCCAUACUCUAGUCGGAUAAAAAACCUACAUCUUUCAAUGUGUCUUGAUUACAAGAAUGCAAAUAAGAUGUCGAUAAACAAUCUUAACCAGAUGUUUGUCUACCUCUACACAAAACUAUUUUUUAUCACCGGUAUGGAUGUCUGCUGUCUGCGCCUCUGUCUUCCAUUCCUGACCUUGGCUUCCGCCAUCCUCUUCUCCACAAACCACAAAUACAAGGACUACAACCAAACAGAUGUCAAGGCAACUUCCAUCUUAUUUUGGUGUACCGCUCUGCUUGAUUUCCUAUCGGUCUUCCUCGGUACUCUCUUCGUCGUCGCACCAUUAGCAGACAAUGUGCCCCAGUAUAACCUCUUGUCAUUCUGUGCUCGUAAGAAGAGGCCCACUAUUUUGAUGAAGCUUGCCACACUUGUGUGGUGCAAAGACUAUGUUAACAUGCAUUGUUAUACACAACAAGCACUAAGAUCAUCCUUACUCCAGGUUACAGAGUUGAUUCAUGGAUAUAUCAGGGAUGGUUGGAAAGGAUAUAUCCAUGAUGAUGCCAGCUAUAGGAGAUUCAACAGCCGCAGAGGCCAGUGGGCGCUAAGGAAUCGACGUCAUCUGCGAUGGAGCUUGAACAUGUCAUUCGAUAGAAGCAUCCUCAUCUGGCACAUCGCCACAGACCUCUGCUUUCACCACCAAAGCGCAACCCCUCUCGGCCAAGCCUGCGCCGUCCGAAGCAGGGUGAUAUCCAACUACAUGGCUUACCUGCUCUUCCUUCGUCCAGAGAUGCUUAUGCCUGGGUCUAGGAUCGGCACCUUCACCGUCGCAUGUGAGGAUGUCGAGCUCUUGCUAGGAGGCGAGCAUGAGCUGGACGACGAAACAGCUCUCGCACAGGGAAUUCUUUCAUGGGCGCAGGCGCGACAGCCUCCCUUGUUAGACGACGCCAACAUGGUAGGAUCUCUGGUUCCCAUGGCAUGCAAGCUUGCGAAAGCGUUGAUGGAGCUGCGCGAAGUGGAGAGAUGGGAGGUGAUCCAGGGGGUAUGGGUGGAGAUGCUAUGCUACUCUGCCAGUAGGUGCAGGGGGUACUUGCACGCCAAGAACAUGGGUGAAGGUAUGGAGCCGCUCUCGCAUGUCUGGUUCCUAUUGUCAAUCAUGGGGAUGGAGACAUUCGCUGACAGGUUUCAGAAGCCGGAGCCUUCCGAAGGCCAAGAUGACGGUGAAGGCAAAGCCCCUGAGAACAAGAUCAAUAUAUUUGUAUAA
rnacentral:rRNA from 1 species